ACGAACGCUGGCGGCGUGCUCAACACAUGCAAGUCGAGCGGAAAGGCCCUGCUUUUGUGGGGUGCUCGAGUGGCGAACGGGUGAGUAACACGUGAGUAACCUGCCCUUGACUUUGGGAUAACUUCAGGAAACUGGGGCUAAUACCGGAUAGGAGCUCCUGCUGCAUGGUGGGGGUUGGAAAGUUUCGGCGGUUGGGGAUGGACUCGCGGCUUAUCAGCUUGUUGGUGGGGUAGUGGCUUACCAAGGCUUUGACGGGUAGCCGGCCUGAGAGGGUGACCGGCCACAUUGGGACUGAGAUACGGCCCAGACUCCUACGGGAGGCAGCAGUGGGGAAUAUUGCACAAUGGGCGGAAGCCUGAUGCAGCAACGCCGCGUGCGGGAUGACGGCCUUCGGGUUGUAAACCGCUUUCGCCUGUGACGAAGCGUGAGUGACGGUAAUGGGUAAAGAAGCACCGGCUAACUACGUG
rnacentral:rRNA from 1 species